rnacentral:lncRNA from 1 species
CAGCAAGACAUGUGUGUCUCCUCCAAGGUCAUCAGACAUCUGGUCCUCUGUGCCGGCUUCUCCCUGUCUGACUGCCUAUCGUAUUCUAACUAGCUCAGCUGCCUGCACCACUAGCAGCAUACCUCUUGUUGAACACCGAUUCUUACGUAUGCAAUCAUGGACUCAUCUAACUCAUCGCCUGUUUGCCUUGCUGCCCCCUCAUCUCCAUGCUGAGCUCUGCUCUCCUAAGUGCAAGUGUCCGAGGAAAUGUCCAAACCGAGGUGACUAAGUGGGUGUCAAGCCAGUUGGAGAAACGGGAAAGACGUUACUAAUGGCACAGGUCUUCCGAGUCAAUGGACCCUGUCUCUUCUGAUUUCAUUAUCAAUUCACCAUGGGAACCUGGCAGUGUGCUCAGUCAAAUUCAAAAGCUCAAAAACAAAAAAGGGAGGAAAAUCCAAUUUCAGAGUCAGGUGAAAACAUCGUAACUCAGAGAAAAUCUUUG